GCCUGACUGGCUCUCAGCAGAGGAAGUCUUGCAUUCAGAGAGGAAAGUGUGAGGGGUUUCCAGAGUGGAGCUGUAUUACUAGCAGAGGCAAUGCCAUCACUGGAGUGAUUAGUUCAUCUGAUGAAGGGACUCUGUUGUCAAGAUUGAUAAAUUAGGAAGAAUGAGACCAGAUAAAAUGCUGGACCAGGAGGUACUGACCUAAAAGAAACUGAAGGAAAAAAAAAAUAUCCAGUGUGCAUUUGUUAUUUGUAUAAAAUGCCCCAGAGACUCUAGAGGGUGUCUAGAUGUAGAAAGUGUUAGAUUCACACACUUUUCUAGCUGUAAAAUAUCAUCAAACUCCUCUAUCUCUUCUCUUGUUUUACAUGUGAGGAUACCGAGGCUCAAAGUCACAGAGGCCGCCUUGGGGCCCAAACUCAGCUUUUCAAAAAAAAAUUUAAAGGAAGAAUCAGUGCAAACUCUAAAUUACCUUGUUCCUGAUCCAACUAAAGGAAUCAGCAGGUGCUUCUUUCUUCUCAGCUUGUUCUUGAUCGUGCCCAACUAAGGACAAGGAUUCAAAGUCUAACUCUACCUCAUUCUUCACACUGCCUGAAUCCUGCAGAAGGAUCUCCUUAUCCUGGACCUUUUCCUCCCAGCCAUCCUUA
rnacentral:lncRNA from 1 species